rnacentral:rRNA from 1 species
AUUGAACGCUGGCGGCAUGCCUUACACAUGCAAGUCGAACGGUAACAGGUUAAGCUGACGAGUGGCGAACGGGUGAGUAAUAUAUCGGAACGUGCCCAGUCGUGGGGGAUAACGUAGCGAAAGCUACGCUAAUACCGCAUACGAUCUACGGAUGAAAGCGGGGGAUCGCAAGACCUCGCGCGAUUGGAGCGGCCGAUAUCAGAUUAGCUAGUUGGGUAGGUAAAGGCUCACCAAGGCGACGAUCUGUAGCUGGUCUGAGAGGACGAACAGCCACACUGGAACUGAGACACGGUCCAGACGCCUACGGGAGGCAGCAGUGGGGAAUUUUGGACAAUGGGCGCAAGCCUGAUCCAGCAAUGCCGCGUGCAGGACGAAGGCCUUCGGGUUGUAAACUGCUUUUGUACGGAGCGAAACGGUCUUCUCUAAUACAGGGGGCUAAUGACGGUACCGUAAGAAUAAGCACCGGCUAACUACGUGCCAGCAGCCGCCGCCG